rnacentral:lncRNA from 1 species
AUCAACAGGUGGGCGCACAUGGAGGAGUUGGUGGGAGUGUCAGACGCGUGGGGCGUGGUGGCCAAGGCUGAGGGGCAUGGUGGCCGACAUGGUGGCAUGGAGAGCUGGGGUUUGCUGCUGAAAUUUUGCUGAAAAAUGUUUUAGAUUUUGGGCCUUUUGGGCUUUAGGGUUUUGAUUUGUUUGGGUUUAAAUUUUGGGUCAGAUUUUGGGUUUGUAAAUGGACUGUUACUUUUGGGUUUAUUAUUUGAGUUAUUUUGUUGGUAUGGGCCCGGGCAAAAUGGGCUCGUACAGCUGCCCCUCUUUGCUCGUUGUCGUGUAACGAGAACAGAGCAAAGACUAAGAAGGCCAAUUUUACCCGGUCUCACCGAGUCUUGACUUUAUGGUGUUUAUCUUCUUCAAG